ACCUGUGAACCUGCGGAAGGAUCAUUG
rnacentral:rRNA from 1 species